rnacentral:rRNA from 1 species
UUUAUGGAGAGUUUGAUCCUGGCUCAGGAUGAACGCUGGCGGCGUGCCUAAUACAUGCAAGUCGAGCGAACAGACGAGGAGCUUGCUCCUCUGACGUUAGCGGCGGACGGGUGAGUAACACGUGGAUAACCUACCUAUAAGACUGGGAUAACUUCGGGAAACCGGAGCUAAUACCGGAUAAUAUAUUGAACCGCAUGGUUCAAUAGUGAAAGACGGUUUUGCUGUCACUUAUAGAUGGAUCCGCGCCGCAUUAGCUAGUUGGUAAGGUAACGGCUUACCAAGGCAACGAUGCGUAGCCGACCUGAGAGGGUGAUCGGCCACACUGGAACUGAGACACGGUCCAGACUCCUACGGGAGGCAGCAGUAGGGAAUCUUCCGCAAUGGGCGAAAGCCUGACGG